rnacentral:lncRNA from 1 species
GAAAGAAGAAACUAUAGUGAUAUCAGUCUAUUGGUGCAUGGAUCGUUGGUUGUCCAUUCACUUUACUAGGACUAGAAGUGCUAAUUGAACAAGUCAUUUGUUUGCUUCCAACUAAUUAUACCCACUAUAAAACAGAUGAUGAUAAUGUGGUGACAGUUUAAAUCUGUGCUCUCUAUGUGUUCUAUCCUAUAUCAUAAACUUCAUGCACAAAAAGGGAAAAAAAAAAGGACAGAGUUCUAUGGCACCACAUUUCUUACACAAAUUAUUUAAUCAAGGACAGUAAAAUUUAAUCUCAACCAAUUGAAAGUGUUGGCCAAAAAAUUGUAUAGAAAAUUCGAUACCUUAGAAAGUUAACCCAAAAUAAAAACAAAAUCAUCUGCUAAAUAGAAACUAACAUAUAUUUAUGCUUAUUCUAUAGUUAUGUACUAUAGCUGUUUAUAUAGAGUAUACAAUUAGUGAGGUCAAUCAUAAAAUGUGUAUUAUUAUUUUUUUUUUCAUAUGAAUGAGUUUUAUUAUCAAUAUUCAUAUGUACUGAAUGAUUCAUCUCUCAGUUGAUGUAAUAAGUGAUUAAAAAAUGGUUUUUUAAAAUAAUUUAUCGUAUUUUUCUAGAAUUUCAUUAAUGAUGCAUCUCAUUCAUCAUUAAUCACUAACAGUGCGGUCUGACUCAAGUGCAAGUCCAUUGCCCAAUGACUCGCCACUUAUUUUUUUCUGAAAAAUAUUGUACUGUUGCAACUUGCAACUUGCAACUUGUGUCUGUGUGUGUUUUUAGAAAAUAGAGAGAGACCGAAACUUACUUCAUAUGCUUAGUAUGAAGAAGCUUUCCGUCCAAACAAAUGGACGCAUCAAGCUCUUCAUUCUGGUACAACACAUUUGGAUCCGAGACCAUAUCCAGAUUUCUCUUCCUGAAGGCAGCCACACACACUUGCAUCAAUCGGACAAACGGACUCCCAGCCGGAUCCAAGUUCCGGUAAAGCGGGUACCCGAAUACGAAUGCAAUGAUUGAUAGAAACAUUGCAACUGUUGGGAUACCGAGACCCCAGUUCCAUCCAACAUUAUCUUGAAUAUAAACAAGAACCGUCACGGCCACUAGUACUGCUGCUCCCAUAACAAAAUAAUACCAGUUAAAAUACUUCCACGUCUUUGUUGCUUGUUUGGGGUCUGUUUCAUCAAACUGGUCAGCCCCGAAUGCCACCACGCAGGGUCGGAUUCCACCCGACCCAAGGGCCGCCAGCAGAAGAGAUGCAUAUAAGAUUGCCAACUGUCCUGUAUCAGCUUCUUUGCAAACUUGGUCACCUUGGCAUGGUGGUGGCCUUAGUUGUGGCAGAAUUGCUGACAACGUUAAGGAGAACAUUCCCUGAUUACAAUAAAAAGAAGAAUUUCUUAGACAAAUUAUUAUUAUUAUUUUUAAUCUUUUUAAUCAGAGUGAGUGAGAGCUUGUUAAUAUUACGUACUAUUUGAUAAAUGAUGGAAGCAACUGUUAUAGUCCAAAAGCGUCCGGCGUAAGUAUCGGCGACGAAAGCUCCGAUCAACGGAGUCAAGCUGCCGGUUCCUCCGAAGUUGGUGAGAGUGUUGGCAGCUUUGGUUAAUGGCAUAUGCAACUGUGUUGUUAAGUAGCUGAUCAUGUUAGCAUGAAACCCCACCACGGCCAACUUCUCACACACCUCAUUUGCUACACCAAAAUCAUAAAACCAUCAUAAUUAAUCAACAAAAUAAUAAUAUAUAAAAAUGACGCUGAAGAAGAAGAACAAGUUAGUAAUUAAAUCUAUAGAUCACAGAGCAUUUUGAAGUUAAUCAAUUACCAAAUAUGAAGGGCAUGGUGAUGAUGCCACCCUUUUUCCUAUUGACAUGGCUGCCGCCUUUCUCCUCCAUCUUCUGUACCAUUGUCUUUCUAUGUGGUUAGCUAGCGAUGGUGUGGCCAAGAGCCUAUUUAUAGGCAGAUGCGAAUGUUUUUAACACGGUAAAUUAAUAAUGCCUCUGAGUGAUUUUUCUAAUUUUCACCGCAGCAAAAUACAUGGCCAGUAUGAGAAUUGCAUGUGAGAUUGUAAAUAUACGUGUAUGGUAGGUUUCGCAUGUAAGUUUUGAUGAGUCAGGCCCACGUGCGGACAUUUAUAUUUUAAAACCAUCUUAAAAGAGCUAAAGAAUAAACAACACGUAAUCCAAUAUACUAAAAGAUAAAAUAAAUAUAUUAAAAAUAAUUUUUUGAUCUUUUAUUUCUGUCAUAUUUUAAAAUCACCCAGACGUCCGCACUCAAGCACCACUCAAGUUUUGAUAUUUUCUGUUUUUCCCAGUCUGCUUUAUUUAUAAACAUUGCAUUUUGGUUGUUUUGAAAUUUUGCCAGUCCGGGUAGAAUUCGGGCAAUCUUGCCUAGACAAGUUUCUGCCUAUGUAUAAACCUUAAAAGUAAUAUGAAUUAAUUAUAACAAAAAAUGUAUGAGUUUUUGAUGUGGAGAAUGGGAUUGAUAGGAGAUAUAGUGGGAGACACUCGUAUUAAUGUUAAUUAAAAUUAAAUCCCUUCUCUUACUUUAAAUACGAAACUAAUUGGACUGUAUUUAUGCUCUUAAUUAAGAUUAAGCUAUGAAGAAUAUGAAGAUACAGACUGGAGCAUUAUUAGGUUUAUGAUAACAGACGAGAACUGCCAUCUUUACAUUAUAAAUUUGGGAGUUGCAAAUGCCCACCAUUCUUUUUCCCUUUAUUUUAUCAUUGUUGAUUUCACUAUAGUUAUUCGAUAUCUUUUGCUACACAUCAAUACUUCAUCCAUUUCCAGAGCGGAACAACAAUAUGUUCUUGGAUUGCUUCAAGUUGGAAGACAAGCAUAAUCUUCAAUUCCAUUAAGGCAAAAAGGCAAAUAAAACCAAUUACGCACCAAGUCACGAGAACUCUGGAAAAGCCAGUAUUUCAGUUUUUAUACAUAAUAUAACGACAUUACAGUGUUUAUGAAAUCAAUAUAUCCAAUACCAACGGUCAUAUUUCGUCUUAAUACGUAAAAUUUACCUUCAAAUAUGUUAUAAAUCAAGGGAGUGGCUAUGAUUUUUGAAGGCACUUUUCCCCCCUAGGUUUUAAGAUGGCAAAGCACUGAUCUUGUCUUGUUUGCAUGAAUUAUAAAAUUUGUAAAUAUAGAAGAGUCUGAAUAAUUUUACAAAGCCCUUGAGUUUUGAUACAAAUGCUUAUAUCACACGUUUGAUGUCACAAAUUCCGAAUAUGUUACCAUUACAAGUUCUCACAUGACAUGGUCAUUUGUUAUUAUUUUAUAGCUCACACACACAUUAGUUACAAUGUUACCCUUGAGUUUUGUUCCAAAGGGGUGUAUACAUAUGUGUGUGUGUUCAUAGGCACCUUUCUCUUACAAGACAGAUUUUAGAUGAUGAGUUCUACCGAAUUUGUGACUAUUAGUAUUAAUAAGAGCAGUCACCAUGUCUAAUAUGAGAUUGGCAUAUACAUAUAUAUAUAUAUAUAUAGGUGCAAGUUUGUGACCAUUGUUAGGGAUGGGGCGACUUGGGGAGGGCAAAUUCGCGAUGUUACCUAGCUGGCUGCCGUUGAGAACAGUUGUUGUGAUGAAUUGUUACCAUCUCUUAUCCGACAAGUCUAUUUUGAGGUUGGUUAGGUUCCACCCAUGAAUUUGUAGGGUCAUCGAUUCAUUUCGGCUCGAUCUUCUUCUGGAACAAUCUGAUCCAAUAAUUUACAUAGUUGAUGCUUCAACAAUAAUAGGUCGACAGAUCAAUUUAAGCAUGCCAGUAGAUACGUUUUCAAAUGAAUUGAUUAUGCCCUUGAAUUUUAGAAGCCGACAGAUAAAAUAAAGUUGCUCCCGUACUGCAAGCAUGAUGUGAUUUUAGAGUCUUGACAGACUUGUAUUGCGAAAAUGUGGCCUAGCCAGCACUAUCAUUGAACAAGAAGAUAACAGCGACCGAAAGAGAGAAUUUUAGAAAGUUCAAUAAGCAUAUCAUGGACAGAACAAGGAGUUGCAUGCGGCUCAGUCUUAAAGCUGUAAUGCCCACAAACUUUAUAGUCUUUGACGUGAGAAAUGAUGCAAGCAGAAGCAAAGUUGGGAUGAAUAACCAAUUUAGCCUAUUCAGAAUCGAUCACAAAGUUUUACGUGUUCAACGGUCGAUGAAUCAUCCACGUGUCGCUCAAUCAUUUUUCGUUUUCGUUGCGACCCUUGGACCGCAGCAUCGCUGUUUCUCUAUUCCAGUCCUAGUCUGACACAUAAGGAAAGAGGCGGGUGGGCUGGGUGGGAAUGUGGGCCUGUUUAGAAGACUGAUGUGACCAAGUGGUCCUUUGUAGUUGAGAUUAUGACAUGAGGCCGACCUCAGAGAGAUUUACUUAUUUGUCUUUUUUUGAUCGGAGCAUAUGAUUUUGUUCCCCCUUUUAAAAAGUAAGGCAUAGGCAAGUUUAAAUUGCCACACCUUGGGAACGAGUGCAUGAAUGAAAAUAAAUUGUGAGAAUUUUUAGCGUGAAUUAUUCUCUUAAGCCUCUCAAUAAAAAAAUAAAAAAUGUAUUUAUUGUUUUAAUUGGAAAUUAAAGUAAUGAUAAGACAUUCUAAAAUUUUAUCAUGAAUUUCAUUUCAUUUCAAAUGAUAUAACUUGUAACGUGUUAUUCAUUAAGUGGUUGAUGGUUUUUUAUAAAUUUCAUUAAUUACAUUAUCUCAAAUCUCAAUGAAUGAUCAAUGACACAUCAUUUAUGAUGCAAUUUUAGGAUGGAAUUAUUAGUGUUAUUGGAUGAGAGAUUAAUGGCAUAAUUGCUGAAAUGGAAACGUUAUUAAGUUUGCUUGAUAGAAGAAAUUAGGUUUUUGAAUAAUGAAAAAUCUUAAUGAAAGUUUGAAUGAAUAAAACUAUAGUUUUGUGGCCUUUUUAUAACAAGCUUAAAUAUCACGAAUUUACCAAAAUAGGCAAAUCUGAAAUAUAACAUAAUAAUUAAAUUCUCCUAAUCAAAAUAAGAAAAUAAAAACAAACGGUACUCAAAUCCGAUUCUAGAAAAAAAAAAGAUAAAAAUCCUAGAAGAAUGAGGAAAAAUAUUAAAACUAGAAAAUGUCCAGAAAAUAAGCGGAAUAUCUGGCUUGAACCUGGGGCAAAACGACUUAGCGUUUUUGGGUUUUAUUCUCCUCGUCGUAGGCUUCAAAACGGUAUAUUAUACUCCAAAAACAGACACUUGUAACCUAAGUUAUGGUCUCUAAAAGGUACACUGCUCGUGACACACAUCACCUUACAUCAAUAAUACAAAAGACAAAUUUAUAAUCUAAUAUUAAUUAUAAUGUAAAACGUCAAUUUAUUACUAUGAGUUUUGUGUUUUAUUUGAAUCUAGUAAUUUCAAUAAUGUCACUACACAUUAUCAUCAGAAGAUCUUUGAAUAUUGGUUGUUUUCAUUUGGACUUGUUAUUAGUAAGGGCAUCUUCUGAGAAUAUGGGCGGUGAGAGUAUAAUGCAGCCUUUUGUCCUUAGUUGGUGUUUGGUUUUAAGAAAGUGGAGGGAAGGAGAGGAGAAAAAAAAGAGAAGAGUGGAAAGAUGAUGAGAGGAGAAGAGUGCAAAAAUUAACUACUAUUAUUUGGUUUCACAUUAAAUUUAAAAUGAAAAGAAAUUACAUAUUUUUUAUUUGGACAAAUAUACCCACUAUCUUUAAUGUUAAUAUUGUUAGUAAAUAAAAAUAAUAAUUAAAGUAUGAAUUAAUUUAAUCUGGCAAUUACAUUGUUAAAUAGAGAAUUGUUUUUAAAUUACAACAUUAGGUCAUGGAUAACCAUCAUGUUGACUGCCGUUGACCAUCAUUUUUCAUCACGUUAAAUACAUAAUAAUGAUCAGAAAUGAAUCAUUUACUCAUUGGAAAUAUUAAAUUUUGUAGAAAAUACACUAUAUAGUUGGAAAUAUGAGAGUUAAAAUUUUCCCAAGCAUUUAAAAAAGACUCGAGGUAGAUAACAACGUAUAUUAGUAUUUCUAACUCCAUAGAGUACAUGAGGAUUCUAUUAGUACUAGUUUUGAUGGUAAAGCGUGUCUCCAGUGAAACUCCGACGAGUCUCCAGUGACUGUCCAACGAUUCACCUUACUGCUUUAUCCUAUUAAUGUAAGAAAAUAAACAUAAAUUAUUUGCAUUUGGAUUGAUUAAUGACGGCAAAGAGAUAAAAUAUUUCAGUCAUUUGUUGGCAUUAAUGAAUUUUCUGAUGAGUUGGACUAUUGGCAUCCCUCUAAUCUACUCACAAAACUCCCCUUUUUAGUUAUAUUCAUUUUAUUUUUGAAAAUGCCCAUUUUUUUAGAUACACUUUUCUAAGUUCUCAAUUUUCAUUUGAUUUGUUUUAUUGUUAAAACUCUAAGUAUUUAUUGUGCUAUUUUUUUAAUUAUUUUCAAUUUUAUUAUUAUCCUACACACAAGUCAAAAAGUUAUAUGUACACUAUAUAGUUGGAAAUAUGAGAGUUAAAAUUUUCCCAAGCAUUUAAAAAAGACUCGAGGUAGAUAACAACGUAUAUUAGUAUUUCUAACUCCAUAGAGUACAUGAGGAUUCUAUUAGUACUAGUUUUGAUGGUAAAGCGUGUCUCCAGUGAAACUCCGACGAGUCUCCAGUGACUGUCCAACGAUUCACCUUACUGCUUUAUCCUAUUAAUGUAAGAAAAUAAACAUAAAUUAUUUGCAUUUGGAUUGAUUAAUGACGGCAAAGAGAUAAAAUAUUUCAGUCAUUUGUUGGCAUUAAUGAAUUUUCUGAUGAGUUGGACUAUUGGCAUCCCUCUAAUCUACUCACAAAACUCCCCUUUUUAGUUAUAUUCAUUUUAUUUUUGAAAAUGCCCAUUUUUUUAGAUACACUUUUCUAAGUUCUCAAUUUUCAUUUGAUUUGUUUUAUUGUUAAAACUCUAAGUAUUUAUUGUGCUAUUUUUUUAAUUAUUUUCAAUUUUAUUAUUAUCCUACACACAAGUCAAAAAGUUAUAUGGGGUGAUAAGUUUUUUAGUGUUAAUCAUUGGCUGAAAUAACACAUAUUUCAAAUUAUAAGUUCAAAGCAAUCUUAAGUAUAAAAAUAUUUAAACAAUAAGAAAUCAAAAAAGAAUAAUAGAUUAUUCUAAAUUUGUACAAUUUUAUUUUAGUUAGAUAGGAAGUAACACAUAGAAUUUUUUUUUAUUAAAAAGAACUGAUUAUGAAUUAAGUAAUUUGCUGGGAAAAAAAUAUAUAUGUGUUUAAUUUUCAAAUGUCCUUCAUUAUAAUUUUAUUUAAAGUAGGGUUUUAUAAGAAUAAUGUAGGGGUGCUAACAGUUCCACUCUUUUAUGAUAUUUAUAAAUUUUCUGAUAUUUGUUUAUUACGGUAAAUGUUAAACCAGAUUUUGCGAUCAUUCUUCUAGGUCCCACUUCUAAUUACAAAAGACUAAACUACCACACUUGCCAAUACUCUCAGCAAAAAUUAACACAAUACUAGUUGAAUCUAACUCACAAAACAAAACAAACUCACAGUAAAAGAAGCUAAGUUCGAAUCCUCUACACUUAUAUGUCUGUCGCAACUCAUAUUUUCUUGCAUAAUUAUCGUAAUAUCAACAAUUCAUGAAGUGUAUAUAUAUAAAGGUCCCACAAAACAACAUUUUACAAUUUUCAACUACAAGUUUUAACAUAUACUGUUAAUAGAAAUUAGCACAAUACAAGCUAUAUCAUCACAAAUUCAUAACCAGCACAAUCGAAUUUCGAAUAAAUGAAGCAAAUUACCUCCACAGAUUGAUUACGGCAGCCAACGACGAGUGAAGCCGAGAGAGUAAAGUUGCAAGUGAAUUUUCCCACGUAGCCGAGAGAAUGAAACACUGUGAGGGAGAGUCGACGAUUAAAGGCACUGUUGUGGUGUGGGAGAGUUUGCUAGUAAGAUUUGUGGCUUGAGUGAGGUGUGUAUUUGGUGGGAGUCAGAGGGAGAAUGUGCGUGUGUUGUCUGCCUUGCAUUCAGCAGUGACAUUUUAUAUUGUGCUCAAAAUGCACCAUUCAAUGCUUAAUGUUGUGUGAAUAUCAAAAGUGGAACAGGAUAUUGAGGAAUUUUCCUACUUAUAAGUCCAAAUAACUCGUUUUUACUAACAUAUGACACAACUCAACAUAAAACUCAAACUCGUAAUGCUAGAAGCAAAAUGAAUAAAGCAGAGAACGAAGCAUAUGUAGCGCUCAUUUUUAAAGCUAUAAAAUAUGUAAUUUUGAGGGAUGAUAGCUACGGAAGCAUUAAUUUGGUUCUAACUUAUCCCAAAAAAUAUUUGAUAAUUAACUUAAGGGAAAUUAUCACCGGUAUACCCUUAAAUGUCGCCGGUAUCAAACGUAUUACAACACUUUUCACUUAUAUCACUCGUAUAUCCUAAGUUGACAAAAGAGUUCUGGCGUCCACCUUUCCGUUUACUACAGUUAAGAACUUAACAUAAUUUGAGCAAAAUGACUAUUUUACCCUUUAAAUUCAAAAUGAGGUAAAAAAAUAAAUUUACCUUGAAAAUUAAUGUAAAUUUUCAAUACACAAUUUUUUUUAUUUUGUUAUUAACAAUACAUUUUUUUAUUAAAAAAUAUGAAUUAUUAAUGGUACAUAUUAUUAACAAUUAUCCAUAAAAAACAUCUAUCUUAUUCCAUAAAACAUUAUUAACAACAUAUUAUUUAUAAUUAUAUAUAUUAUACCAUAAAAAAUUCAAGUUGGAGCUUGGAGGAGUAGAUCUUUAAUAAUUUAGGUUAAAUUUGGAGGAGUAGAUUCAGUUGUAAAGUAGUUUUUUUUUAGCAAUUAUUAACAAUUAUCCGAUAAAUGGAGGACAUGUCAUUUUUAUAAAAAUAUAUCACAUGGCAUGUCGUUUUUUACUAGGUAAAUAGGAUGACAUGUCGUUUUUUAAAAAAAAGACUAAACUACCCUUAUAAUGUCAGCGCUCGCAAACGGUAGUUAACGGAUCGAUGGACGGCAGAAGUGUUUUGUCAACUUAGGGUAUACAAGUGAUACACUUGAAAAAUGUUGUAGCACGUUUGAUACUCGUGUCAUUUAAGGGUAUAUGGCUGAUAAUUUUCCUUAACUUAAAGCAAGUAUCCAAACUUGCAUCCAAAAUUGUAUUUGGUGGGAGUCAGAGGGAGAAUGUGCGUGUAUUGUCUGUCUUGCAUUCAACAGUGACAUUUUAUAUUGUGCUCAAAAUGCACCAUUCAAUGCUUAAUGUUGUGUGAAUAUCAAAAGUGGAACAUGAUAUUGACGAAUUUUCCUACUUAUAAGUUCAAAUAACUCGUUUUUACUAACAUGUGACACAACUCAACAUAAAACUCAAACUCGUAAUGCUAGAAGCAAAAUGAAUAAAGCAGAGAAUGAAGCAUAUGCAGCGCUCAUUUUUAAAGCUAUAAAAUAUGUAAUUUUGAGGGAUGAUAUCUACGGAAGCAUUAAUUUGGUUCUAACUUAUGCCAAAAAAUAUUUUGAUAAUUAACUUAAAGCAAGUAUCAAAAAUUGCACCCCCCCCCCCUCCCUAAAGUUGCUUUCAUGAUGAUUUUGCACGGGUAUAGACUUGCCACUGAAAAUUACAUAUAGGGAAAAGGGCCAUAUAUAAAGUAAAUGAAAUAUUAAUUUGAUGGAACUUUCGCAACUCUUUUGCCCGAAUACAUGCAAUUAGUAAUAUCUUAAAGUGAAAGUGAAAUGGAUAUAAAAUUAUUUUAUAUAAACUAAUGUGAUAUAAAUAUAUUGGCCGGAUAUAAUAAUUCUCGAAAAAUAUAAUUAAUUUAUAUUAUAUUAUAUUUUCAUCCAAUUAAUAUAAUUAUGCCACAUUAGUUUGUACAUGAGUUUGUAGUACUAUUAUCACUCCAACAUAAAGUAAUUUUUAUUACACCCAACUAAUAUGUUUAUGUCACAUUAGUUUGUACAAAAUAAUUUUGUACCAAGAACUAUUUUAUAUUUUCAUCAUAACAAUAAAUAUGGACUCAAUUUCUUAGUUAACAAUUUAUGCGCAUCAAUAUUACCUCAAAAAUACCCAUUUAGAACUGCAGGGAGUAGAGAACAAUAGCAAGAUUUUAGUUUUAAUGUAUAAAAUUGAAGCUGAUGUGCUCUAAUGGAAUUCUUCCUCUCUAUCAUUAUUUUGCAUGCAUAUUAUUCAGAAUAAGCACCUAUAUAUAAUUUCCCUAUGAUACAGACGGUACCUUGGAGAGAAGAGAGAAGGCGGUACCUUGGAGAGAAGAGAGAAGGGGAAUUUCCCUAUGAUACAGACGGUACCUUGGAGAGAAGAGAGAAGGGGAAAAAAAAAAAAAGAGGCUAGGACUAAAUUGUUUCGCUUCCAACAGUGCCUUGAAACUGCAACUAAACUUUGUUCCCAAGCUCUACUCCUUCUUCUUCUGACGAGUCACUGCCUUUAUUAUGAACCUGAAUGGGCUUAAAAGUAUACAUCUUAGCGCAAAAUAUAUAGUAAAUAAGAUUAGCCACUUGCAACAACGUGAUCAACCAGUAGAAAUACUCCAACUUUCCCUUGUUCAAAUUAUUAUCCGGCAGCCAAUUUGAUCCAUUAGGUCCAGCACUGAACUUGUGCACCAACGUAACCAAAAAUGUGCUGAAAUAAUUUCCAACUGAAAUUGCAGUCCAAAACAAUGCGGUAGCCGUGCUUCUCAUGCUCUCCGGCGCCUGAUCAUAGAAAAACUCCAGGUGACCAAUUGACAUAAAUGCUUCAGCUAUCCCGUGGAGACUGUACUGUGGCACAAGCCAAAACACUGAAAUGGGGAUAAUCGUAUGAGGCUUGUCCACGAGGCCAUGAGCCGCAGCUGCUUGUUUUCUCUUCACUUCAACCAAGCCAGCAACGAGAGUGGCGAACACUGAUAUGACGAAGCCUAUUCCCAUGCGGUGCAGGAACGUGAUGCCGCGGUCGAGGCCGGUGAAUUUGCGGGUGAAGGGGAUCAAUAAGCGGUCGUAUAAAGCGAUUGUGGAGAGCAUGGAGACGAUUGUGAAGACAGACAUUGAGCCAGCUGGGAUUUGGAAGGACUUAGUGACAUGCCUGUCCAUUGAUUUGGCCUGUUGUAAGGAGAAUGUGCUUUGCUGUGCAUAGGCUGUGAUUAGGAGGAUGCCUGAUGCCCAAAUGGGUCCCAUUCUGAUCACAGAUUUGAGCUCCUCCACGCGGUGCACAGUGUUCAGUCUCCAUAGAUUUGGUGACUUGAGGUCGUCGCCUUCAGUCACAAUCGCUGCCUUGUCAAGAAAUCUGCAGUGCACCCAUGAAAUUUAUUUAUAUACAAAUUGAUUAUUUCAUUGGAGUUCUUUAAAUUUUAUUAUGACGAUUAAUUGAAGGCAAAUGUGAACAAAUUUUGCACUGUGAUUUAGAAAUGUGAACAAAUUUUGUACAAUAAUUGUAACAUACAUCUCAACAGCAAUGUGAACAAAAAGAAGAUGGCAACUUAGAAACGUGUCAUCACUGCGCUCAAGGAUCACAAAUGGGGUGAUUGUGACAAGUCAAGCGACACAAAGCGAUGCACACGUACUAGCUUUUGUUGUUUACUAUAAUAGCUAGGUAGCCUGAGAUCAAAUAUGUAGUGCUUAUGACGAUUAAUUGACAAUAUCUAUGAUUGCGGUCCAUUCCCACUUUAUACAAAUUGAUCGAGUGACCAUUCGUUUGCUUCCGACUAAUGAUACGGCACGAUAAAGCUGAUGGUGAUAAUGUUGUGACGAUUAAAUCGGUGGUAUAUAUCCCUUCCAAAAUGUUUCAUAAACUUAAUAACAAUAUUAAAAAUCAAAAUAAAAUGAGUAAUUAAUGCGUGCAUACAUAGUUUUAUAUGCUUAUAAAAUUAUUACUUCUUUAAAUUUACAUCUUAGUUUAAUUUACUUUAUUAAUUUUUAUACUACACUAAUAAUUCUUACUAUAUAAAUUAUGUAUCUCUAACUAUAAAUAUAUAUUAAUACUCAAAUUAGAAAGAUUCACACCUAUUCUACAUUCAAUGAAAAUAAUUUCUUGAGAGUCAUAAUUAUACUAGUAUAACAACAAAAACCAUAUUUGUUAGGCUUUUUUUUAAUUAAUUCAUGUAUCAUUAGAUAUAUAAUUCCAAGAAAGUCUUUGGUGUUCUUGGAACAUGACUCAUUAAUUUAUAAUUUACCACGUGUACAUAGGAUAAGUAUAUAUUUUAGUUGAAGCAUAUGAAAAAAAAAAUAUAAAAGAAAUGCAUUACUCUAGAAGCACUCAAUAACCUUUUAAACACAUCAUGACACGAUUCUAUCAUCCAUCAUUAUCAAUUAUUGACUAAAUCCAUUAAUUGAUGUCCAAUAAAUUUAGUCCCAUUAAAAAUUUCUGUUAAAUAUAUAUUAUAGCUCGAUGCAACUUGUGUUUGUGUUUAUCAUAGAGAUAUGGAAAUAGGGAGACUUACUUCAUAUGCUUAGUGUGAAGAAGCUUUCCACCCAAAGAAAUGGCGGCAUCGAGCUCUUCAUUCUCAUAUAAUAAUUUUGGAUCAGUGACCAUCGUCAGCUUUCUUUUCCGAAACGCUGCCACACACACUUGUAACAACCGGGUAAACGGACUCCCAGCCGGAUCCAAGUUCCGGUAAAGUGGGUACCCGAUCAAGAACGCAAUGAUUGAAAGAAACAUGGCAAAAGUUGGAAUACCGAGGCCCCAUCCCCAUCCAAUAUUAUCUUGAAUAUAAACAAGAACUGUCACAGCCACUAGUAUUGCUGCCCCCAUGACAAAAUAAUACCAAUUAAAAUAUUUCCAUGUCUUUGUUGCUUGUUUGGGGUCCGUCUCGUCAAAUUGGUCCGCGCCAAAUGCCACCACACAGGGUCGGAUUCCACCCGACCCGAUAGCAGCGAGGAGAAGGGAGACAUAUAAGAUUGCUACCUGUCCUUUAUUAGCUUCUUGGCAAACUUGUUCACCUUCACAUGGCGGUGGCCUUAGUUUUGGUAGAAUUGCUGAGAUUGUCAAGCAAAUCAUUCCCUGAUUACAUUAAUAAAGUAGAACGUUACAAAAAAUAGAAAAAAUCAUAAACUCAUUUUCAGAAACAUGUACAUAUAUGUUAGAGAAACAAUUAUUUUUUAGAGAAACAUGUGCAUAUAUUUUACAUUAAUUAACUUGGAAAUAUAAUUGACGAAAUUUUUUUCUUUUGAUGGGGAAGAGAGAGAGAGAGAGAGAGAGAGAGAGAGUAGUUUAUUAAUUACAAUUUGAUAAAUGAUGGAAGCUAUAGUUAUAGUCCAAAAGCGACCGGCGUAAGCAUCGGCGACGAAGGCUCCGAUCAACGGAGUCAAGCUGCCGGUUCCUCCAAAGUUGGUGAGAGUGUUGGCAGCUUUGGUUAAUGGCAUGUGCAGUUGUGUUGUUAAGUAGCUAAUCAUAUUAGUGUUAAACCCCACCACAGCUAACUUCUCGCAGACCUCAUUUGCUACGCAAACAAAAGUCAUAAAACCCUCGUAAAUGUAAGUAAUGAAUAAAAAGAAAUUUGAAUCAAGAAGAACAAGAAGCUUUGUAUAAACCACACAUAUUUUAAAAGCUUACAAAAAAUGAAGGGCAUGGUGAUCAUGCCACCCUUUUGUCUUUUGACAUGGCUGUUGCUUCCUUUUUCCUCCAUAUUUUCUAUCAUUUUCUGUGUGUGGAUAGAUUGCUAAAAAUGGCGAGCCCUAGAGGCUAUUUAUAGGACAAUAUGAAAGUUUUUAUCACAGUAAAAUAACGCCUGCAAAUUUAUCUAAUAAAUUUCACUACAGCCACAAAUAUUUAAGAACUGUGCAUGCGCAUGCGGUUAUAUAUAAAAGACUUGAUAGGCAUUUAAAAUGGAAGGGGACAUACGUGACAGGUCCUGCAGGCAAGUUUUGUUGUUAUCCCCAUUUGUCCAGUUUGAAUUGUUGGUGAAUGCUAGUGGUGUGAACUGGACCGGAUUGAUGAGUGAUGACUUGAGGAAGGCAUAACCAAAACUGAUUUAAAAGCCUUUCCUUAAAAUAAAGUAAAGCAUGCAUCAGCAUUAAUUAAUCACUACAAAAUUGCACAUACUAUUGGGGAGUGCGAGUGCUUACAAAUGCCGACGACAGAAUUUAAACUCUAGGUGUUGGCUCAUAUGUAAGUCUUAUACAUAUUUGAGAGAUCACUAGAUUGUAUUUGAUCGGUGACUCAAGCGUAAAAAAUUUAAGUUAAACUCAACCCAUUGAUAAAUAUCAUAUAUUUAAUAUGAUAGAAUGCAAAUAAUUGUGAAUAUAUAGUUGGAUGAGUGAAAAUAAUAAAAUUUAUUGCAUAACAUUAUAUUCUAUAUAGGGUAAAGGUACUUUUAGUCAAUAUAUUUUAACUUCAGUGUCCAUUUAAUUCUUAUAUUUUAAAAAAUAUCUCAAGAUACUACUUCUAUUAAAUAUUUUACAAUCUCACUCUUACUAUUUCUUUGCUUUUAUAUAAUACCCUUACAACAAUACUUUUUACAUUAGUUUUUUAAUUUAUAAAAAUUAAUUAGCAAAUUAACCAAUAAUUACUUAUUAGCAAGUUAAGAAAUAAAAUUUUAGUUUUGAAACCAUUGAUGAUUUUUCAUACCCUUGCAACAAUCUUGCUAGUUAUUAUCUAUAACUAAAUUAAUACAAGUCAAUUUUAAGCAAUGUUUAAUACACUUGCAACAACCUUAGUAGUAAUUUUUUGUACAAAAUUAAUACCAAAAGUAACAUGAUAAUAAUAAUUUUCAGUUUACUUUUGAGGCUAAUGUAUUAAAUUCACAUUUUUUUUAUUAAUAUCUCCGAGAAUAUUGUUGUAAUGAUAUUAUUGUAAAGGUAAAGAAAAAUUAAAAACACGAUUGUAUUACAAUUACCAAUAAGGAUGCCUUGAGGUAUUUUUUUUUUAAAUAUAAAGACUAAAUCAGCACUUAAUACAAAAUAGAGAGACUAAAUAAGUAUUUACCCUUUUAUAUAUUAUAUAAAUGUAAGCCUAAACCCUUCUUAACAUUGAUGCGAGCUAGUUUAGUGUUAUUCCAAACUUUGAAUCUCUUGCAUUACCUUAAUAAUUUUUUUUUCAAUUGAAUCAAUUAUCAUCUUAUAACUUGUGUAUAUAAAUAAUAAGUUUGCACCACUAGUUUGUAUGUACGUGGUGCUUAUUAAUAUUUUUGUGGACGAUGCUGUUGAUAUUAUUGUAUGUAACACUACGAAGUUGUAUUAUUUUAUUAAUCCAAAACAUAUAUGAAAAGUAACCACAAAGUUAAACAAAGAGAGAGAACUAGAGAGAGUGUCUAUUUUUUUUUUAUCUGUUUCAAAAUGUUCUUCUUAUAUCACCACAAAAUUUGAAUUCCGUAGAGAAGAGGUACCAUAUUCUGCACACUUCGAAGAUCAAUUUUUUCUUUAAUUUGAAAAAUGAAAAACAAUACGAUAUGCCCCUUUAAUUUCCCCCCCCCCCCCCCUUCCACGUGACUGACUGUAAACCCUUGCUCUUAUUGGAUGGCUGUAAAGACUAUGAAGUAUGGAAGACACAAAUCUGGAACAUUAAUUAUUAAAGUGAAAUCUCUUUAUUCGUAUAUAUCAUUAUCCAUAUGGACCAUAUAUAAUUUUUUUUAUAGCAUCAACAUAAAUGCGGUACGUGGAAUUUAUGUAUAUUUUUUAAUAGACGUAGAAUUCAUAUUAAGAAGGAAUAUAUUGUCAAUUUGUCCACACUUCUUUUUAAUUUUUUCAUUGUAGGUUUUAGACUUUUAGUUGAGUAAAAUGGAAUUCUCCAAUGAGCCUUCGUUACACGAAUACCAAAUUCAAUUAUUGUGUUCCAGUUGAAAAGGAACUAUAAUACUUUUGAACUGAUCCGAGCGGGAAGAUAUUCACAAUCUUCAAUUUCAUCGAAGCAAAAAAGCAAACCCAAUUGACCAAAUAUUGCACAAAUGAUCUGCAAGAGCCUGUAUAUUCAUUCAGAUUCUCACGGUACAAAUAGUAUUAAUGAAAUAAAUAUCCCAACAAUCAAUCUUAGUUAGGUCCUUUGAUUGUAAUGCAACGGUAUCUUGUCUAAAAGCGUCUCAUAUUUGAUAACAACUGGAAUAGCAAUAAAAUAUAUGAGGCACUUUUCGAACUUAGACGAUGUCGUGUCAAGAUGUGUAGAACAUUGUUUAUUUUGUAAUAAUCUACACUUGUAAUUAAUGUGGAGGUUUUGAAUUUGAAUUGUAAUAAUAAGUACUGUUACAAAUUUUAUGAAGAAACUGAUUAAGACCCCCCAAUUGUUCAUCAAAACUAAUUAUUACCAACAGUGAGUUUUCUCACAUUAUGGAUAUUUGGAAACAAUAAUAUUACCAAUUUUAAUAUUUGAGUUCAAACUUAAUCGUUAAUAAUAUACUUAGUCAUUAAUACUAUGUGUUACUCAUUUACUAGAUGAUGGAUUUCAUAACUUGUAACAGGAUAAAUAAUUGUUUAGUUCCUAUGUAUUAAGUAUCCGUUUAGCCCUUGCAUUAAAAAAAAAUACUUUAAAACACCAUUGUUAUUAAAUAUGUUACACUCCUAAUGUAUUUUUUUUUUUUAAUAAUGCCCUUACAAUAAUAUUCUCCGGGAUGUUAAUGAAGAGGAAAAAAAAGAUAAAUUUAUCAAAUUAGCUUUAAAAGUAACAUAAAAUUUAUUGAAAUUUUUAUAUUAUUAUUUGCUUUUAUGAUUAUUUGGUAAAUUAAUUUUUUUAUAAAAUAAUUAUUAGCAAGAUUAUUGCAAGGAUAUUAAACACUGCAUUAAGUUGGAUGAUAUUAAUUUAUUUGUAAAUAAUUAUCAGCAAGAUUGCUAAACGAGUACCCAAAAGAAAAACCAAUUCUUUCAUACUAAUAUUUGUUUGUUGAUAUGCUAAAAUUAACUUUUUUAAAGAUAAAUUAAUUAAUAUCAAGUGUAUUAUUAUAAGGAUAUUGUUGUAAAAACAAAGAAAAUAAUAGUAAAAAUGUAAUAUAUUUGACUGUAACGGUAUUUUGAGAUACUUUUUAAAAUAUAGGGACUAAACGAGUAUUUAGCCCUUGUAAAAUUACUUUAACACCAUCUAAUGGAUGAAUACUAUAUUAUUUAGGACUCAAAUUAGGAUUUAGACGUUGGGAUAUAUCUAACAUUGCUCUAACUGUUAUAAUAAAAGACAUUAAAAAAAAAAAAAGGUACGUUAACAUUUUUUUUUUAUGACAUGGGAGUUUUGAAACGUGAUGGAAAAUAUUAAUUUAUUGAAACAUUAAGGGGGGCAAUAGUCAUUUUCUUAAUUUUAUUUUUAUGUUUGAUGUCACAAAUGACAAAUAUAAAGUUCCAGAUUGAGCAUAAAUUUCGGCUCCAUAUUAUCGUGGUGGGGCUCAUUAGAAUGCGCGUAAUGCUUCAAUAAUUAAUUAUUGGGGUUAGAUCAACUUAAGCAUAUUAUUACGGGUUACUUAUUCAUAAAGACCUUAUUAUUAUAAAUUUGUUUCCGGAGCCACAAGCAUGAUUAGCUUAUCAUUGAACAAGGCUCAAGAUAACCAUGGCCCAUAAGAGAGGAUUUAAUCGACAAUAAAUUAAAUUAACCAAUGAUCGAAGAAUAUGUCUGCAGCUAGCAAGCUGUACCGCCCACAACUUUGUUUGACUUUGACGUGAGAAAUCAUGACAGCACAAACAAAUUGGCGGUGAAAAUUAAAAAAAAAAAUUGAUAAAAUCUGAUCAUCAAAAAGAUGUCCAUUCCCUUUUACAGAUCACGAACUUCGGUCUGAUUGAUCAUUGAUCAGAACUUCAUAAGUAUCGUUAUCAUCUUCCACUGAAAGUAGUUCUAAAUUUGACUGGUACGUCGGUGGGUAAUGAACGGUUGAUGAACCAUCCACGUGUUCCACGCUUUCCUAGUCUUCCGGCAACGCCAACAACAGCAGCAGUACUACUGCCCGUCUCGUAUUUUAAUUUGAUACAAAGAUGAAGUUAAAGUAAAGAGCAAGUGGGGUGGGGUGGGGUGGGCUGAGUGGGCUCCGUGGGGUCAUUUAGGAGACUAAAAGCACCAAGUGGUCCUUUGCCGUAACGAGAUAACGACAUUAGACCGAACCUGUAAAAGAGAUUCUAUCUUCUAUUAUUUGUUUAACAUAUAAAAGUGAUUUACGUAAUAAACAUGUGAAUUUUAUUUUAUUUUAUUUUUUCAAUUGAAUGGAAUCAGAGGAGACCCAUUUAGUACGUGGCAAAAUUGUUUUUAUAAUAUUAUUUGGAUGCUUUCAAUUGGACUACUUACUAUUGUUAGCACUUAAAGCAAGGGGACCCCUAUAAUUAUUGAGUGCGUGAACCUUUGAGAACGUGGGCGGUGAGAUUAUAACGAGCUGUCCCCUUUAAAUGGCACGUAGUCCUUCAGCUUUCCAUCUUUUGAGGAUUGGCGUUUCAGUUGUUUGAGUGCGGAACUUCUCUGAUUUGAUGUUGAUACUGUGGCAAUCUAGCCAGACAUUUUGCCCAACUAAAGUUUGAUUCGUUCAAGGUGAAAAAUCCUUUACAAAUAAUUCAUUUAUCCCAAAAAAAAAAAAAAAAAGAGUUUUAAAGUGGGAGAUGGAGAUCCACCAACUUGUUAUGUAUGUAAUUAGGGCUAUGCAUGUUAUGUGUCUUGAUUUAAAUAAUUAAUACGAUUUUUUUUAUAUUUAAUUUAACAGGCCGCCAAGCUGGCUUUUUGAUAUACAAUUCAUGUUUUACAUAUGUUAUAAAAUAUUUGGUAUUGGAAAGCAUGCACCACUAAUUUUAUGUCGACAACAUCAACAAUGAUAUAUGCCUAAAUUUUUGUACUAAAUUUUUUGUGUUUUUUUCACUCUCUGUGUGUGUAUCAUUAUUCAUUUCGGAUUGUAGGAUAUUAAAAAGGGCAAUGAAUCAUUUCAUAAUUUGAACUUAUUUGAGUUUUAAAGGAUCUUUUUACACAAGAAAAAAUGAUGCAGAGGAAAAAUAUUAAAUAUUUGGUAUUAAGAAGCAUGCUCCACUAAUUUCAUAUCAACAAGAUCAACAAUGAUAUGUCCACAAAUAGUAGUGUAUAUUUGUGGUCUUUGCACUAAAUUUUGUGCUUUUUCAGUAUUGUAUAUUCAUAUAAAUAUGCAUACAAACAUAUAUGUAUGUAUGUAUGUAUGUAUGUAUGUAUGUAUUUGUGGUCUUUGCACUAAAGCUCGACUGGAACACUCAAUUGUUGAAUAUAAGUAGCGAGUAGGGUCAAAUCAAUACUUUCACCGAAUUCAUAAUAAACACACCAGAAAUCUUAAUUCAUUAUAGCAUUGUAAAUUCUGGAAAGAAGUUCGGACCCAUCGGAGUCUCAAGCAUUAAAAUUUGGAGAAUGAAAUGUAAUUUCUAGGAGUUUCGAACAUAUUUUCUAAAAGUACAAAACAGAAAGAAUGAUUCUCUUUUUUCUCUAGAACACGUAAUGGUAGAAGCAAAAUGAGUAUAACAGAGAGCAUUAGGACGACAGUCCAUGUGCAUUUUAAAAAAAGCGUAAAAAAGUGCAAUCUUUUGGAAAUGGAGGGGGAGCAAAAGCAAUAUUUGGCACAAGUUUUGUUUUCAUGAUGAAUGAGUCCGGGCAUGGUUUUGUUAUUGAAACUAUAAUAUUGCGAGAAACAGGCAUUCGGCGAAUUCAUCAAACGCACAUCGAUUGGUGCAGGUGGGUAGCUAUGAUGAAUCAGGCUUUCACAUUUUUCCGUCAAAGGACGAGUCGAGUCGUGAAGCUUCACACUGAUUCCAAAACACUCUAAAAGUUAUGGAUUUGGGAAAUGAUGACGUGAGAGAUUACUCAAGGACGCAAUACCAGAAUCAAUUAUUUGUUUUGAUUUUGUAAGAUUCUUGAUCUGCGGCUAGUUAUCACCACAGCGUAUUCAACUGAAAAGAUAUCAAAGUUAUCGUGUCGUGCCUGUAACUGUUUGUGAAAUAUGAUCAUGGUUUUGUCGAACUCGAACACAGAUGACAAGUUUAGGAUUCCAACCGACUGUCAGCCACCAAGAUUGACCCACCCACCCAAAAGAAUGUCUGUGAAAUAAAAAAUUCCUAGGAUCGUAUGAAGAAUCAAAUGAUGAUGUUCAUUAAUUUAGAAUAACAACAAAAAAAAACCAUUAAAUGUUACUUUAACUUUUAAUAUCCACAAACCACUUGGGUUCAGCUCAAGUGGCUAGAGCCACUCCCUCACAUUUGUGAGGGAAAUGGUUCGAACCUCCACAUACGUAUUGUAAGGAUUUAAUUUAAAUGUCCUUCCUUGGAGUCCUAGAGUUUGAUUCACAAGACAGUAUUUCUCCCAAGCUGGGAGUUGACGUCCCUCGAAUAUUUGAGAGGGUUAAAAAAUCUUAGCGAUGCUAUAUCAACAUUAAUAUCAACAAAUCUCGGUAUAUAUAUAUAUAUAUAUGAUUGUACAUAUCAGUUAUACUCUCAUGUAAUAUAAAUUGUAAUUUGAACAAUAGUCUCAUGUCAUCAAAAAAAAAAAACUUUUAAUAUCCACAACUAAGUUAUAUAAAAUCAAUGAUUUAAAAUUUAUAUAAGAAGUUUAAGUCAAAAUUUUAAGUCAGAUUCCACAUUAGCCUAAAAAGACAACAUAAAAAAAUUACUCGUGUCAAAUUAUUUUUUAAGGUUUAAACGCUCUCCUAUGUACUGCGUUAUUUGCUCAGGCAGCCGAAGUUGAUAAGCUUGUCAAAGAUCCUUACGAGAUAAUUGUACAUGUAAUGAUGUAAAACGAAAACUAAUUGCCAUGAACAUUAGGUUCCUAAAUGAGAAGUUGAAGAAUGUUACAUCUUGCAUUACUUGUUCACUCUCCACACAUACCAAAGCAUGAAUAUCUGAACUUUGUUUAACAAAUGAAGUCGAGGAGAAAUGAGAAGGGAAAGAAACUAAUUAGAGGUAUUUUUUAAUAAAUGCCGUCCAAAGGUAGUAACCAUCAUUUUCAUCUUGAAUCUUUUCUAUUCCCCUUUCAAUCAAUCCUCAAACUCAUGCAUAUGGUCUAAAAGGUAGUUGGCAGCAAGUUCCUCAUUCUUGUUGCAGGCAAAGAACACCUCCAAUACAAUUGCUCGAUCAAAGCCCAUUGCCUCAAGCUGCAUCACAAGCCAAAGAACUGUCAUCACAAUAACCAAUAUAGAUAACAGGAUUUCAUGUCCGCUAAGCAUAUCUUGGCAUUUAAUAGAUAGGGGAAAACAGUCUUAUCAUAACAAUCAAUCUUCAAAGACUGAACUGUAGCCAUUCGUCACCCCACAAAAAUCAAAAUAAAUAAGUAAAUCCAGAAACCUGCUACAUCAGAAUAUCCUCACGCAACCAUAACUAAAUAUCCACUACCACAACAAAAAGUAACAAUGCACACACAACCAAAGUCAACGCACUUAUUAGUGAACUUACACGUUCUAUGGCUUCACGUUCUUCGGGCGUGACUUGUAUUGACUGUGGCAUUAACCCAGCAAGCUGGUCCCCCAAAUUCCUAUAACAAAUCAAUUAAUAGUAUCAAAAUUAACACAGACAAGUUCAGGAGUGGUAAUUGAAAGGGCAGGCUAUUCAGUGCAAAAAGGCACACAGUUCAGAAGAAUGUGGUGGAUAUUUUUAAGGUGUCACAUCUUACCUUGCAAUGCUGCCUUUGGUGAGAGGGUAAUUCUCACCAAAUCCACCCCCCCCCCAACCCAAACCCCCAACCAACCAAAAAAAAAAAUGCAAUAUGAAAAGUCUUACCCCUCACCACCUUGAACAGGUUCAUUGAUAAGCCGAAGGAAGUCAGCCUGAUGUUCCUGAAUAAGCCUCACUAGCUGAGGAUUUUGUUUCCCCAACUCUUGAAGCAUGGGCUGCAAAAUGAUGAUCGUUAAAAGAAUGUUCCGUUGAAGGAACAUAUAUCAGAUGGAGGAGAAUGAACCUGCAAUAAUUGAGGAUUUGCCUGCACCAUAGCUCGCAAAACUUGAAACUGCAAUGGAAUUAGAAAAAACAACAGUUCAGACAAGUUUACUUAAAUAUGAAUCAGUCAUUUGCACAUACACAGAAAGAUGCAAGUAUGCUUGCACAGAAGUGGGAACACACACGGGGUUAGAGAGAGAGAGAGAGACCUGUGGACUAUUACGUAAAAAGUCAAGACUGCCAGCGCCAGCUGCACCUGAACCCACGUCAGGAAGGCCCUGUUUCAAUAUAACUUGAGUAACUCAACCAAAAAAAACUCAAAAAUAAUAGCUAAAAAAUAAUCACAUUGAAAAUACCUGAGGAAAGAGGUCCAAAGGAUUUGCAUUUGGCCCACUAGAAGUAACGGGUGCCGGUUGGGUUGGCUGUGGCAUCUGAGUUGGAGAGUUAGCAGCUUGUCCAUUACCAGGGGCGCGGGCCACAGGUUGAACUUCAGCUUGCUCAGGUAUACCCUGAUAGUUUAAAUAGAAAAUUUGGAGGGGGGGGAAAAAUAAAAAACAACUGUGUAUAUACUGAGAUCAAAUGGAAUCGUAUGAAACUAAAUCGACAAUAGGCAGUGCCUCCUUGGAUGGGAAUGGUAUAAGAAUAAACCCAAGAAUGAAUUUAUAAAAAAAUUAAUUAUCCACCGACCACCUGUUUUUUCUACCUUUUUCAAAAAUACACAAUUUUUUUUUUUUGCAGUGCUUUAUCUGAAGUUAACAUUUUUUUCAUUGGUCCACUCCCAUUAUAACACUAUUAGAACUUUGCUGACAUCAUAAGGGUAAAAUUGUCAUUUCACGACAACACAGAAGUGAACAUGUGCAAUACAAUAUAACUUCAAGUGGAGUUCAGCCAAAAAAACAAAUUAAAAAUUGUGUAUUUUAUAAAAAAUGUGAAAAAAAAAGUGGUCAGCGGAUAAUUUAUUUACAUUUGAGGGUAAAAAAGUCAUUUAUAUAAUAUUCCGUUAGUUCUCUUCACAAUUUGAAGACGGAAGUGGAUAGGUGCAAAAUAAUGUAACUUCAGGUGGAAUUAAGCCCAAAAAAAAAAGAAUUGUGUAUUUUUGAAAAAACCCGAAAAAACAGAUGGUUGGUGGAUAAUUUCCCUUAUAAAAAUUAACAUUCAUACGAAGCCAGGAACUAAAGAAGAAUUACUAACACUUGCCAAUAAAAAAGGAGAAAUAAAUAUUCUUUCACUUAAACAGACGCAAGAAAACACUUCUUAUCUGACUAUACUGAGCCUUUCCUAGAAUACACUUCUUAUCAACUGCCUAAAAACAUUAAAGCUAUAAAAUAGCUAAGAAAACACAGUAGAUGAUUAAGCAUCUAAUAAAUACAUCAUUAACCUAGAACUAGCAAAAAUGGCAGUAGUUAAAAAUGGCAAUUUCAAUCAUAGGCAAGAAUCACAAAAUUGGACAAAAAUACUGAUCCUUUCCUCUAGGAAGAGCUCACCCAUUCUCCGAAACUGUUAUCAAUACAAGAAGUCAUCCAAACCACCCUAGUUAAAGAGUCGAAAAAAGACAUCAACCACUAGUUUGCUGCAUGUCUUUAUUCAGUCAGGAAAGAUGUAGCAUAACGAUUUUUUUUUCUUUUUUCUUUUUUUCUUAGACACACUCACACAUUAAGAGCAAAUUAUGAGAGAACAAUCUGAUGACAUAAUGCACUCAAAAGACUUCACUUCAAAAGCUCCAUCCUAAAUGAGUUACAAAUGUGUGAAAGAAUGAUGAAAUAUAGCAAUACUCACAGAAUAUAAAUAUUCAACAGCCCUCUCAGGAUUAUUAUAAGCAGCUCGAAGAGCACGAACAACAGUAUCUCUAUCCCAAGUCCCUCCACCCAUAUCAAGAAUCUGCUGGAUUGCUCCCUCCAAGUUGUUCCCAGCAACCAGAUUAGAUGCAGCAUGCCCAUACACACCAGACUCUGACCUGUCCCACCGAAGAGUGACUAUAAAGAGAAAACAAUGAUCCAGAAAAAGAAAGGAUAUAACCUAUGCCUACAUAUAUUCAUACACACCAAGACCUCAAGGAUUUGAAAUGAUUACAUCGACGUUACAGAGAGAAACAUCAAGCUACAAUGUAAGGGUGAAAAUACUCACGUAGCAGAAACUGAUGACACAGAAGCAGAAGCAGGAGCAGGAGUAGGAGCAGGUGUAGGCCUGUGAAAAGCAUAAAAUUAUGUAACUAUAAAAAUACAUUUAACCAAAAUGCAUUCUAUACCACUCAUAGAAUCUUUAAGUGUGUGCAGGCGAACACAUGAAAAUCAUCGACUCACUCUGUAGAGAUUGGCACGGCAGUCUGAGGAGCUGUUGCUGGGGUCACUGCAGGGGUUGGGGCACUUGACUGGGGAGCCUACAAUAGAGGCAUUCAGCAUAUGAUCAAUCCGGAGAGAGAGAAAAAAAGGAAUUGAAAAUGAUUUCUCUCUAUACAAGAAAAAUGCACUUGUUUAUCAUAAUAUAAAAGUAAACUUGACUAGGGAGCUUAAAGUGGAGGCAUUCGUCAUAUGAAUCAAUCCAGAAAGAGAGAAAAUUGAAACCAAUUUUUCUUUAAAUGAGAAAAAUGCACUAGAUGAUCGUAAUUAAGAAAUAAAUAUCCCAAAGAAACCAUAGGCCAGUGCACCAAGGAUUCCACAUCGUAACACGGAUAAGAGCAUUAGUAAAGAUAGGUCUUUCAUAAAAAGAACUUAAACGUAAAACAAUGCCUAACAUGGAUCUAAGCAGACGCUCAGAGGAUAUAAGCUUAGAAAACCUUACAAAUAGUUCACUACCAUUAUUAAUUAAGCACCAUAUUCAAAUAAAUAAAUAAUCCACCAAACCACAAUUAAAAUCCAAUUGGGAGCAAAAAGACACAAAUGUUUUUCAUAUAUACACAAUACAAAACUCUUCAAUAAUUUGGCUAAUUAUUCAGAGGUACAGAUGCAUCAGUACUGUGAAAACUUUGAUUUCCUCCACUGCCCUACUAGUAAGAGGGCUAAAAGAACAUCGCUCAAAUAUGUGCACAGACACAUUUCUUACUUUGCUAUGUGUGCUUCUCAUAGCAACAUGUUCUUUCAGAACAUUGAAAGUAAAAUUCUUUGCAACAGGCAUUCCAUGAAUAAAAUAGCUAGUAAAAUGUUUAUUUCAAAUGCCAGGGAAUUAAAACCAAAUCUAUUCUUACCUUUGUAGGCGCAGUUGACGUAGUUGAACCUUCACCAGUUGGUCUCUUAUUCUAGCAACAUUACAAAGGGGAGAAGAAAAAACAAAAUGAGAUGACCAAAGAGAAGUGUCACAUAGCAUUGUCAAUAUUCAGGAGGAAAUUCACCAGAAAAAGGAAAUGAAUAGUGGAAAGGAGAGGUGCAUGCAAAGAAAUGAUGGAGUAAUGAAAUUAAAAUUCCUAAUUUCUCGUCAUGAAAUUACAAUUACUAAUUUCUCACUAUAAAAUUUCAAGAGAAAAACUUAAUUGUCAGUAACUCCGAGAGUAUUGAGAAUCUUUUUCUCAUGUCAACUGACACUAAAUAAACAUCAUGCAAAAUUCACGUUCCAAGGAACUUCAAUCAAGCCAAUAGUUUUCUGCUUGAAUAUGCCCCUCAGUUCUUCAAAUUAAACCCAUGAGCAUGGAACAGAUUUUUCAUUCAUUACAAAGCUCCAAAUUCCCAACAGUUUUUCAGAUAUGCAUUGAGGUAUUGUCUAAGGUAUGGCAAUAAAUCAACUUUGUAUUAUUCAAGCAGUAGAAAAUCAUAAAUAUCACAAUCCUAGCUCAUGCUGAAUAAAUCCUUAAUUGUUCUUCAAAUAGGCAUCAAGUCAACUUUCACUUCAAACAGGCUGGUAAAUCAUAAAUGCUAUACUCUUAUUUCUUUUUACUUGCCAAUCUAAAAUCCAAAUGAAAAAUGUGAUGCUCACGUCACAGUAAAAUUUUGUCUAUAAAAGAAUUCAUGGCAAAUUUAAAACAGCAUUGCGGGAUACUACGAUCAGCAGAAAAGCCUAAAAAAUCAAGUUGAAUAAUGUUUUCACAGAAAAGUACAUGUAAAAAUCAUUGAAUUCAAACAAAAGCAGUUCUGCAAAAAUACAGACAAAAAGAAAAACGUCACCUUUGUUAACAUAAUAACAACAAAACUAUUUUCAGCUACUUUGUUCUCUUCCAGUGUAGUAUCAUCUUUGAGGACUUUCCCCUGAUAAAUCAGCAUCUGUUGUGCAGCAGGAUAAACAUCCGAUCCUUGAACAGUUUCUAUCUUCAUUUUCACAUCAAAGACCUAAAAAGAAAGAUCAUAAGUUCUUAUAGUUGUCUUUAAAGAUAGAAGUAAUACAGAAAACAUCCAAUCUCCGGUUAGUGUUAGAUACUGAAGAGUGCUAAGGUAUUAGUUAAUUGGAAAAAAUAAAAUAAAAUAAAUAUUAAAACAAGAGGGAGAAAUCCUACUCCCACUGUCUAAUAAAAUUGACUUGAAAUCCAAAUCCCAUUAACCUUCUGAAUAAACAUUCUUCUACAGUUAAUUUUACUCUAUCUAGUUAAAUGAAAUAGACAUGAAAUUCUGCUGGCUGUUGGGUCAGUUGUACACCAGAAUGUUCUGAAAACAACAGCGGCAUCCUACUUUCAUUGUCAAAUGCCUUCUUCUCUUGUUGCAUCAAGACUUUGCUUGGAUUUAGCUCUCCAUAGAAUUCACAUUUAGGCACAAUCAUGUCAAAAAUCCUUCACUGUGUACAGCCUCCACAUCCUCCCCACAACAAACAUUUUACAUGAAAACUUUCAAAGGCAACACUCCAAACCGAUUUUUUAUGGGCGAAUCCAUAAGCAAAACAACUUCCUACCUGAAUUCACCACAUUCAAAUACAAACUUACUCCAAUCUAACAGUCCCCAGUCCAAAUGACCACGAGAAAACCCCAAAAUAUUCGAACAAGCUAUAACACAAUGUCUUCAAGAUUCACUGCAUUGAUAUACUUGUUGAGAUCUUUUAAAGUUUGCUUGUGCAACUUGAUGCUUUACCCCUUUGGUUUCUAAAAUCAAGUUAAGGUGUCAAUGUGAUUGACCAUCCGUUCAUCCAAUCAUUUAUUCUCAUAAUGUCAUUGCACUCUCAUCAGUACAGUGUUCACAAAAACAUAUUCUUACCACGUGGGUUCAAAGGUUGAAUGGCAGCGAAUAAAACACAUUUCCUAAGGCUGUACCGACACCAAACUAGACUCUUCUACACAACACAAUUAGAAUGAAAUCAAUCACCGUCCUAAUAUACACUACACAACUACCUAUCCAUCCACCACAAUCAAUUCACUAACUCAAAUUUGCCGCAAUAUUGAAGAAAAAAAUUAUUUGAACCAUAUAUAUAAACAAAUUUACAAAAUUAAAACAAAAAAUGAAACCAAAUUUGAACAAUUACGAAUCAACACUUAAAAUUCGUGAUUCCAAAUAGAUGAACCCUAAAUAUCACUCAAUUUCGGGAACAGAGAAUAUCGAUUGCAACAGAACUGAACAUAAUAUGAAAUUAAAAAUAAACAAAAAAAGGGGGGGAAAAACAAAAACAAACCGUGUCUUCAGGUUUCACUUCGACGUCGAAAGAAGUUCCUUUGAGAGUUUUAACGAAAAUCUUCAUCAUCUUCUUCUUUUUCUACGUUCCGUUGGGUCUCUCGAAUUCAACUAUUUUAUUUGGUUUUCCGAUCCGCAAGGUCUUUUCAAUGUCUAUCUAUAAUUGAUACAGUCGGAGAGAGAAAACCGAAGCACAAGUUAAGAAGCAUAUAGAAGAACUUCCCUUCAUGAAUAUCUACUGACAAUAAAAUAUAUUUAAAUAUGUAGCAUAGCGCAAGUCAGUUUCUGCCUUUACGGUUUCCAAAGGAACGGGAUCUGAUGACGCCACGUGGCUCGAAGCUGAUCUUGCGGCUAACGAUUUGCCAGGUGGAUUAAGAGAUAGCUACGUUUGUCUACGUGGCGUGGUUUGGAUUAAGUUAUGUGGUUGUCUGUUCACUCGAAGCGUGGUUUCUACUCGGGAGAAAGGAGUUUGUUAAAGAGUGGGUGGUUGUUUGGCCUUCCAAAUUCUUCCAAGUUGUUUUACUUUCAACUUAUUAGAGCCUUGUUCAAAUGGGAUCCUCUAUCUUACAUGCAUGUAAGAUACAUGUCUCUCACAUAAAUAGUGUGUGGGUCCCACAUAUACACUAUUCAUGUGAGAGGCAUGUAUCUUACAUGCACGUAAGAUAGAGUUUGCCUGUUCAAAUUCCUUUUAAAAUAUCGGGCUAUGAAUUGGAAGACCUUUUAAAAUAUCGGGCUAUGAAUUGGAAGAAAAUUUAAUCACACAUACAUGUUAAGGUGGCAGAAAUUUCUUGCGAAGCGCCCCUAAUCAUUCGAGCUAUGAAUUGGACCUGGUUUUGUAUAUCAUCGAGAAAACAAUUGAAGGGUCCACAUAACCAAACGAGGGUCUUUUGGUGUUGGACGCGACGGUCGGGAAGGGGAGCUGGCGGUGGGUACAGUAACAGUUACCAUACUUUUGGAGAGAGGUAUUACAAGUAAAUUUACAUAAACAAGGGCCACGAUUGAAUUGUGAUUAAGUUUCCGAUUUUCAUCCAUUUAUUUUUUUAUUAGGUUGAGUUCAAGAAUUUUAAUUUUUAACACAUUAUUAUUAUAUUAUUAUAGUAAAAGAUGCCACGGGCGGACCUACCAUGGGGUUUAAGAGGGACUUCAACCCUUUCUAAACUUUAAAAUGUAUUGAAAAUUUUAUAUUUGGUCUAUUUAAAAAUAUAGAAUCCCUUUUAAACUUUCAAAAUUUCUUUUUAAAUAUGUUGUAUGUUUGGUCUAAUUCUUAGUUUAUUAUAUAUGUUUUGGAUUUGAAAGUGGUGUCCAAGUUAAGAUUUAAUUGCUUGACAUGUUGUCCAUCUCAUAAUUUUAAAUUUUAAAAAAUAUCAAGCAAAAAAACAUUGAUUUUUAACUUCUUAUUGAGUCUAUCGAGUUCAGCACUCUUUCAAAAAUAAAUCUGUAUGGUCUCUUUCUCGCAUUUUAAUUAAAAGCGAAUAAAAUAUUAAAGUUUUCUUAUACGAUUUAAAUAGGUCCAGUUGAGUUGGAGUUAUUUGAUCAACUAAAUUUUUUACUAUUUGUGGUAACCUUUUAUGUUUGCCUCAAAUAGUUAUACCAGUUUAAGUCAUUGAUUGAAAAUAACAAGGACGGAUUUAUUGUUCAAAUUUCAAAUUGUUGAUUAAGUUGACGACAAUCGUAAAUGUUGAAAAUUAUUAAUUAAAUGAAGUUUAACAAUUUGGCACUUAUCAUUUUUGGUUCAACAUUUUUUUUCAUUGUAUUGCACUAAGCCUCGCCUAGAUAAAAUUUAUGGGUCCCCCAUAAAUAUGCGUGACAGGAUGGUUCUUUUUUUUUUUCCACCAAAAAUCAAUCAAGGAUUUUGUAUAUAUAAAUUUCAAUACACAAUAUGAUAAAUUAUAUUGUACUAGAGAUAAUUUAUCUUUUAACUCAUAACUCAUUAUUGACUUUAAUAUGAUCACAGAGUGUUUAUUGAAAAUUGUAUAUUAUGUAUUUAUGGUUUCAAUUAUAUACACAUACUAAUAUUUUUUGUUUUGGGUGAUUUGAAUGGGGAUGGUUUCUUUUGUCCGAAGGAACAACAUAUUUAAAGGAAAAAUGAAUACAAAUAAACCUAAAGGCUGCAAAAUAUACUCAUAUAGCCACAUCCGGGCCAAACAAAUGAGUUAUAAGAUAAUUACAAAUUUUAAUCAGAGAGUGGAUUUUUGACACCUUUAAAACCACCUUUGUAACUAAAAUUACCUAAAUAACCAAAUAAAAUAAAAUUCGUUUCUUAUUUUUAAAAUGGGAAUUCAAUCAAAUAUUUUAGACCACCAUAUUUCAUAAUUUAUAUUUUUAUUUUUAUUUUAAUAAAAAAUAUUUUGAGAAAAUGAUAGGAGCUUAAAUUUAUGAAUUAAAAACUAUAUGACAAGAAAAAAAUAAUUUAAUAUUUUAGGAUUUGUAAGUAAUUUAUAAUUAAAAACUUUAAAAAUAUACAAUUUUUUAGUUUUAUGGGAAGAUGGUUAAUUGUAAUAUAUGUAUUUGUAUUUUGUAAAUUAAAAUGGAGAUAUUUUAAGAAAUAACAUUCAAUUAUAAGGAUUUUAGAGGGGUGCUAAUAGCUCCAAUCCUAACCAAAUGAACAGCAACGGAAUUGUCUUCCCAACAGAUGUUUCUGACAAUGAAAACGUAGGCCCACUGAAAUGGAGCCCAAAAAUGUCCUGAAAAGGCCGAAUAAAUACCUUGGGCUCAUGAGAAGUGCUUCUGCCACCUCAGAAAAAUCCUUAUAAAACUCCACUCUACAAUCAGUGGACUAAAAAAAAAAAAAACAACAACAUCAAUACAAACCAUAAAAUGACUCUUUUCUCCCUCCACAAAGAUUUUACGGAAGAUAAUUUAUGUUUUAUGUUUUAUUAAAACUAAAACAUAAAUAUAAAUUAUGAUUGUAGAGUAGAGUUUUUUUUCUUGAGAAAAUAAUAGGAGCUUAAAGUUAUGAAUUAAAAAUUAUAUGACAAAAAAAUAAUUUAAUAUUUUAGGAUUUAUAAGUAAUUUAUAAAUAAAUAUUUUGAAAAUAUACAUUUUUUAGGAUAAAAGAUUUUAAGGAAGAUAGUUAAUUGUAAAUUGUAAUAAAUGUAUUUGUAUUUUGUAGAUUAAAAUGGAGAUAUUUUAAGAAAUAACGUUCAAUUAUAAGGAUUUUAGAGGGGUGUUGAAAGCUGAAACCUCCAAUCUCUACCAAAUGAACAGCAACGGGAUUGUCUUCCCUAUGGAUGUUUCUGACAAUGAAAACGCAGGCCCAAUGCAGCCGAGCCCAAAAAUGGCCCGAAGAGGCCAGAUAAAUUCGUUGGGCUCCUGAGAAGUACUUGUGCCACCCAAGAAAAAUCCUUACAAACUCCACUGAUUAAUCAGAGGACUAUUAGCUACACUCAUUUUAAUUUUUAAAAACAACGCUAUACACAGACACACGCACACUCACACAAUACAAAGUAGAAACAAUAAAACGACUCUUUUCUCCCUUCACAGAGGUCUUCCAGUAACAUUCUAAUUUUACAUUAAUUUGUCAUCCAAAGUUAUUUUUUUUUUUAAAAAAAAAAAGGGGUUAGAUUGUCAUCCAUAAAAUAGAGUUAUUUGCGUCCCUGCUGUGGCAUUGAAAAACCUUUGAAGUUCCUUAAUUGAAACUACCCAUUUGCUUUUUCUGAGUUAAGAUUUAUUCAACUAUUUAGUAUUUUUAAUUUAAUGACAAAUAUUUAGUAUUUAGUCAGUUUUAAUAUUGAUUUGAGAUUGAACAUCUGUUUAAGAAGACUUCUAGUGUUUAAAGGAGGAGAAGAAGAAGAAGAAGAAGAAGAAGAAGAAGAAGAAGAAGACUUCCUGAAAACAAACUUGCAUUUCCACAUCUGUGUUUGAUUUUUCCGAUCUAUCUUCCCACAACUCAAACCCAUUUGAGUUUCUUUCAUAAACUGAUCUUCAAAUUUUGCCUUACUUUCAUAUUUCAUAGUCUUAAAAUGUAGAGUGGUGAAAAGAAAGAAUUCCAUAGUCUCCAAAAGGGGAUUAAUUUAAUUUGGCACGAUUGCAUGUCAAAGAAUAUUGUUUUCAGCAGUAGACAAUUCUGGCAUUUACGAAGCUACACAGUCCCAAGUCAGCCAGCAUAGGCGUAAAUUCAGCAUCCAACAUCUAUUGAAACUUUAAAGCUUUAAACCAUGAAGCAAAAUUUUCAAAGAUUAUUAUUCUCAUUGAGGAUAAAAUUGUAAAUGUAAAUACGUGCGGUUUGAUAAGAAUAUUUUAAAGGGCAACUCAUUUGCAAAAGCCAUUUGUGGGCCUUCACCACCCAGGCCCAAAAAAGCAGAGCCCAACGGAGGGAUUGACUAAGACUUGACCUACAAAUUGACGUGGAAGUCAACUACUUACGUUAACGACUUGGUAAGUAAAUUAUAAUUAUAACGUGUAAAUCAAAAGUGGAGGCAAUAAAGAAAAGUACUUAGGCAGAACCAAUCCCCCAAGAAAUUACCAGGCAGUGGGGAAAACGACUUUUGAGGGGGGGGGGUUGGGGUUGCAAAAGUAAAAGGGAUCUGGACUUUUGUAUCCUUCGUUUACAAGGGAAACAACUUUCACGACAGGUUUUUUCACAAUUUUGAUUUUUGAAAGCAUCCUUGCAAUUUCCAGGCAACUUCCUCGAAAGACACCCCUUCAAAUUCUGUCUCAAUUUUCUCCUCAGGAUUGGAUAAUUGCUUUUUUGGCAUGUUCAUAUUGGCAGUUGUACGCAAUCAUCCGCGUUAAAAAUACGUUUAUGAUUGUGGCAGUUUUAUGAGUAUGAUUGAAAUCAAUAACGUUCUUUUUCUUCUUGAAAAAUAUAAAAAUAAAACAAAACCAAAGAAAUACAUAUUUCAUUUUACUUGGUCGCAAUUGGAUAGUGAUACAAUAAUAAGCAAACACUCUAAAGUCCCGUUUGAUAUUGAAGUUGAAAUUCAAUAAGUUGCUUAUUUUAUUUUAUAGUGUUUAUUACAACAAGUUUAAUGUGAAUGUAUUACAUUUUAUUUUUUUUAUUUGGAUUAUGUAUUAAUAAUUUUUUUCACUUUAUUUAAUUUUAUGUGUUUUAAAAAGAAAAAAAUACGUUUAAAUAUUAUUAAAUAUACUUCAAAAAAAUAAAAGGAAAUUUUAACUUAUAUCUAUUUUAAUUAUUAUAUAAUAUAACAGAUUUAUAAUAAAAUUUACUAAACACAUAUAGAAUAUUUUUUAAACUCACAACAAUCUUAACAAUAUAAUUAACUCAACAUCAAGCUACUUCUUUCAGCAGCCUAUUGCAUCUGUAAAAUAAAAUCAGCCUAUUAAAUCAACAACUACAAUCUCGUACACCUAAAAUCAAUUCACACCAUAAAAAGUACCCCAACAAAAUGCACCGACAAAUUUAAUUCAAUAAGAAAAAUUUUAAAAUACAUCAAAUAUAUUAUGUCACAUGUAAAUUAAAAAUAAAUAAUAAUAUAACAUAUGUACAUUUAUUUAUUUUUUAAAAAAAAAAACACCAUGUAAAUAAUAAUUAUAUUAAAUUUAAAUUACAGGUCAUACAUAUAUUAAUCAAUUAUAAUACCUCAGAUGUAGUCUCCUCAUUUGAUAGAUACGUUUAAACAUAUCACUAGGUUUAGCUAUUCAACACAUGCCUAUAUACCAUGUAAUGCACCACCUGGUUUAGCCAUUACUUAAAUAAGAUCCACUAUUCAUGUAGUUCACAAUUUCAGUUAAUAAUUUUUCACAAAAUAUUAAAUAAUUCACCGGACGAUGGCACAAACUCUUGAUUGGAUAACAAGGGCGGGAAGAAAAGAAAAAAGGAGAUCACGGAUCACCUCAACUAAAAUUGGCCCAACUAAAGAAUUGUCAUUAACAUUUAUUUUUAAUUGGUAGAUAGAUUUAGGAACACCC